AGUAAUACAUCGGAACGUGCCCAGACGUGGGGGAUAACGAGGCGAAAGCUUUGCUAAUACCGCAUACGAUCUAAGGAUGAAAGCAGGGGACCGCAAGGCCUUGCGCGUUUGGAGCGGCCGAUGGCAGAUUAGGUAGUUGGUGGGAUAAAAGCUUACCAAGCCGACGAUCUGCAGCUGGUCUGAGAGGACGACCAGCCACACUGGGACUGAGACACGGCCCAG
rnacentral:rRNA from 1 species